GAAAAGUCUCUGCCCAUCCCCCCCUCAGAAUUCAGAGAUUAAUGCAAGUGUUUAACAAUGUUUUUCUGUAAGUAUCUUCGUGCCUGCCCUGUCUUUUGGCGGAAAAUCUUAUCUAUUAAAAUGGAUUGGCAGUAAAACUAAGAAGAGGUUUGAUUGUCUCAGUUCAGAUGUAUUAUAUGAUAUAAUGAUGCUUUUUGGUCUGUCUGGUAUCCCCACCUGAAAUCAGCUGUCUCUUCAUUUAGCCUGGGUGUGCCAUUCUUCCAGAAGACUGGAAAACCUAUGGAAAUAUGGAACACAUGUAAUGCCUUUCUGAAGUGCAACUGAAAUUCAGGGAGCAGAUGCCUCUGUACAAGAAUUGAUUUUAUUAACUGAAAGACUACAGUAGAUUUCAUCCUGCAGUCUGGAAUCAAAUACUAAAGUCAUUGUCAUCCUCAUCCUAAUUCUCAAGCAAAUUUAACUCCAAUCAGAUAAAUAUGCACCAUGCAACUUUCCCCUCCUAAAGGAGAUGAAGGUACUUUCAGACAGCACUGCAAAUAGAAUAGUAUGAAUAAGCCAGUACAAACAUGUGGAGAAAUAGCAAAAUAAAUAAAUAAAUAAAUAAAUCCUUCUCUUGUUUUA